GAUGAGGUGGCCGAGCGGUUAAGGCGAUAGACUGCUAAUCCAUUGUGUUCUAAACGCGUGGGUUCGAAUCCCACCCUCAUCG